rnacentral:ncRNA from 1 species
CUUGCUUGCGAUAGCCAAGCGUUCAUAGCGGCGCUGCUUUUGGAUCCUUCGAUGUCGGCUCUUCCUAUCGUUGCAAAGCAGAAUUCACAAUGUUGGAUUGUUCACCCACUAAUAGGGAAUGUGAGCUGGGUUUAGACCAUGGCGAGACAGGCU